rnacentral:rRNA from 1 species
GACGAACGCUGGCGGCGUGCUUAACACAUGCAAGUCGAACGGAAAGGCCCUGCUUUUGUGGGGUGCUCGAGUGGCGAACGGGUGAGUAACACGUGAGUAACCUGCCCUUGACUUUGGGAUAACUUCAGGAAACUGGGGCUGAUACCGGAUAGGAGCUCCUGCUGCAUGGUGGGGGUUGGAAAGUUUCGGCGGUUGGGGAUGGACUCGCGGCUUAUCAGCUUGUUGGUGGGGUAGUGGCUUACCAAGGCUUUGACGGGUAGCCGGCCUGAGAGGGUGACCGGCCACAUUGGGACUGAGAUACGGCACAGACUCCUACGGGAGGCAGCAGUGGGGAAUAUUGCACAAUGGGCGGAAGCCUGAUGCAGCAACGCCGCGUGCGGGAUGACGGCCUUCGGGUUGUAAACCGCUUUCGCCUGUGACGAAGCGUGAGUGACGGUAAUGGGUAAAGAAGCACCGGCUAACUACGUG